GCAGGUGCGAGCGAACUAGAUUAGAAGCUUGCUUCUAUGACGUUAGCGGCGGACGGGUGAGUAACACGUGGGCAACCUGCCUGUAAGACUGGGAUAACUUCGGGAAACCGAAGCUAAUACCGGAUAGGAUCUUCUCCUUCAUGGGAGAUGAUUGAAAGAUGGUUUCGGCUAUCACUUACAGAUGGGCCCGCGGUGCAUUAGCUAGUUGGUGAGGUAACGGCUCACCAAGGCAACGAUGCAUAGCCGACCUGAGAGGGUGAUCGGCCACACUGGGACUGAGACACGGCCCAGACUCCUACGGGAGGCAGCAGUAGGGAAUCUUCCGCAAUGGACGAAAGUCUGACGGAGCAACGCCGCGUGAGUGAUGAAGGCUUUCGGGUCGUAAAACUCUGUUGUUAGGGAAGAACAAGUACGAGAGUAACUGCUCGUACCUUGACGGUACCUAACCAGAAAGCCACGGCUAACUACGUGCCAGCAGCCGCGGUAAUACGUAGGUGGCAAGCGUUAUCCGGAAUUAUUGGGCGUAAAGCGCGCGCAGGCGGUUUCUUAAGUCUGAUGUGAAAGCCCACGGCUCAACCGUGGAGGGUCAUUGGAAACUGGGGAACUUGAGUGCAGAAGAGAAAAGCGGAAUUCCACGUGUAGCGGUGAAAUGCGUAGAGAUGUGGAGGAACACCAGUGGCGAAAGCGGCUUUUUGGUCUGUAACUGACGCUGAGGCGCGAAGCGUGGGGAGCAAACAGGAUUAAUUACCCUGGGUAGUCCCCGCCGUAACGAUGAUUGCUAAGUGUUAGAGGGUUUCCGCCCUUUGUGCUGCACUAACGCAUUAAGCACUCCGCCUGGGGAGUACGGCGCAGACUGAAACUCAAAGGAAUGACGGGGGCCCGCACAAGCAGUGAACAUGGAGUUUAAUUCGAAGCAGCGCGAAGAACUUUACCAUGUCUGACAUCUCUGACACUUCUAUAAAUGAACGGUUCCCUUUAGGGGCCAAAUGACAGAGGUGCAUGUUUGCGAUAGCUCUUGUCUGGACAGUGAUGUUAAUCACCACAC
rnacentral:rRNA from 1 species